rnacentral:rRNA from 1 species
UGCAACGCGAAGAACCUACCUGGUCUUGACAUCCCGGAGACCCUUAGGAAACUAGGGGUGCUUCCAUCUGGAAGAAUCUGGAGACAGGUGCUGCAUGGCUGUCGUCAGCUCGUGUCGUGAGAUGUUGGGUUAAGUCCCGCAACGAGCGCAACCCUUGCCUUUAGUUGCCAGCAGUUCGGCUGGGCACUCUAAGGGACUGCCGGUGUUAAACCGGAGGAAGGUGGGGAUGACGUCGAGUCCUCAUGGCCUUUAUGACCAGGGCUACACACGUACUACAAUGGCCGAUACAAAGGGCAGCGACACUGCGAGGUGAAGCCAAUCCCGUAAAAUCGGUCUCAGUCCGGAUUGGAGUCUGCAACUCGACUCCAUGAAGUUGGAAUCGCUAGUAAUCGUGGAUCAGCAUGCCACGGUGAAUACGUUCCCGGGCCUU